UGGGGGAUAGCUCAGUCGGUAGAACAUGAGACUCUUAAUCUUGUCGUGGGUUUGAGCCCCAUAUUGGGCAAAG